GCUAGCGUUGUCCGGAAUCAUUGGGCGUAAAGAGCGUGUAGGCGGCCCGGUAAGUCCGCUGUGAAAGUCGGGGGCUCAACCCUCGAAUGCCGGUGGAUACUGUCGGGCUAGAGUGCGGAAGAGGCGAGUGGAAUUCCUGGUGUAGCGGUGAAAUGCGCAGAUAUCAGGAGGAACACCGAUUGCGAAGGCAGCUCGCUGGGACGUAACUGACGCUGAGACGCGAAAGCGUGGGGAGCAAACAGG
rnacentral:rRNA from 1 species